GGAAACGAUAGCUAAUACCGCAUAAGAGUAGAUGUUGCAUGACAUUUACUUAAAAGGUGCAAUUGCAUCACUACCAGAUGGACCUGCGUUGUAUUAGCUAGUUGGUGGGGUAACGGGCUCACCAAGGCGACGAUACAUAGCCGACCUGAGAGGGUGAUCGGCCACACUGGGACUGAGACACGGCCCAG
rnacentral:rRNA from 1 species